CUCAUCAGCAUUGGAACCUCUGUCUUCCUAUAACAGCAAGCAUGAUGUGCUGCUUCCUCGUCUCUGGCUUCCCUGAUGGAGCCCCUGGAACUCACAAGAGAAGCAAAUGCUGGUCAUUUCCUGUGAUUUUCAUCUAAAGCCAAAUCAAAUCCAGCUGGGGAACCAGGGCCUGAGAAAGCAAAAUAAUUGAACAGUACUAAGUAAGCAACGAGGAAUGUAACAUCAAAUGCUUCUACCGGGGCUCAAAUCUGAGUGGCGAGAGGUUUCCAAUCCCUGCUGACUGGCUGAAUAAAUAGAUGCUGGGGCAAGGAACAGUGACAGGACCACUGGGUAGGGUGAUAAAUGUAGGUAUGUCAGCAUCAGAAAG